rfam:Triticum urartu cultivar G1812 contig870214, whole genome shotgun sequence.
UAAGUACUCCCUCUACCCGGAAUUACUUGUCAUCAAAAUGGAUGUGUCUAGAACUAAAAUACAUCUCGAUACAUCCAUUUCAAUGACAAGUAUUUUUGGACGGAGGGAGUACAAG